rnacentral:rRNA from 1 species
UACGUAGGGUCCGAGCGUUGUCCGGAGUUACUGGGCGUAAAGCGCACGUAGGCGGAUUUGUAAGUCAGGGGUGAAAUCCCGGGGCUCAACCUCGGAACUGCCUUUGAUACUGCAAGUCUCGAGUCCGAUAGAGGUGAGUGGAAUUCCUAGUGUAGAGGUGAAAUUCGUAGAUAUUAGGAAGAACACCAGUGGCGAAGGCGGCUCACUGGAUCGGUACUGACGCUGAGGUGCGAAAGCGUGGGGAGUAAACAGG